AACGGCAUGCAGAACUCUAACAUCGGCAACAGCACGAGUGUCCCUGUGUCUGGCUCCAGCUUCAAUGGCACUGCCUUCCUCAGUGGCAACUAUGCUAAUGCACCUGCACCGGCUCGGCAGGUUCCAAGUUUUUCUAUUACUGGCAUAGGAGGGAACGCAACCUUCUAAGCAGCUAGCCUCAGAUGGCAAAAGGACCAGCAUGCAUAAUUAAGCUUGAACGAACGAAUGAAUUAUGUGUGCUGCAACCAAA
rnacentral:misc_RNA from 1 species